rnacentral:rRNA from 1 species
UACGUAGGGUGCAAGCGUUGUCCGGAAUUAUUGGGCGUAAAGAGCUCGUAGGCGGUCUGUCGCGUCUGCUGUGAAAAUCCAGGGCUCAACCCUGGACCUGCAGUGGGUACGGGCAGACUAGAGUGCGGUAGGGGAGAUCGGAAUUCCUGGUGUAGCGGUGAAAUGCGCAGAUAUCAGGAGGAACACCGGUGGCGAAGGCGGAUCCCUGGGCCGUAACUGACGCUGAGGAGCGAAAGCAUGGGGAGCGAACAGG